rnacentral:misc_RNA from 1 species
UUGAUUUAUUUUGCUUGUGCCACUCGGAGAGGAAACAUAAAUAAACAAGAGUUUUGGGCCUCCGGCGGGCGCUGAGAUCCGGCGCCGUGAAGCGCCAGGGCGAUCCCGCCGAAGCAACAAAAGGUAAGGUUCACAUAGGGUUUGGGAGUUGUAAACUCGGUAAUGAUCCCUCCGCUGGUUCACCAACGGAGA